GACGAACGCUGGCGGCGUGCUUAACACAUGCAAGUCGAACGGUGAAGCGCCUUCCUUUUUGGUGGGUGUGGAUGAGUGGCGAACGGGUGAGUAACACGUGAGUAACCUGCCCCCUUCUUCUGGAUAACCGCAUGAAAGUGUGGCUAAUACGGGAUAUUCUGGGUCUGUCGCAUGAUGGGUCUGGGAAAGAUCUUGUUUCGGUGGGGGAUGGGCUCGCGGCCUAUCAGCUUGUUGGUGGGGUGAUGGCCUACCAAGGCGGUGACGGGUAGCCGGCCUGAGAGGGUGGACGGUCACACUGGGACUGAGACACGGCCAAGACUACUACGGGAGGCAGCAGUGGGGAAUAUUGCACAAUGGGCGAAAGCCUGAUGCAGCGACGCCGCGGGAGGGAUGGAGGCCUGCGGGUUGUGAACCUCUUUCGCCAGUGAAGCAGGCCUGCCUCGUUUGUGGGUGGGUUGACGGUAGCUGGAGAAGAAGCGCCGGCUAACUACGUG
rnacentral:rRNA from 1 species